CAGAUUCCCACUUCCUAGAGUUGCUUCUGCAUGUUUUAAGAGUUCAUACUGAUGAGAUCCUUCAGGGAUAUUCUUCUUUGGUUUGAAUGUUUUAGAAGAGCGGCUGCUGCUGUAAGAUUAAAAGUGCAAGUAUAUGAAUUUUUAAGACUGGAAGUAGAACAGGUAGAACAACAUAAUUUUAGGUAUAUAAAGUAGCCUGUAAAAAUAAAAUAAAAAAUACUCU
rnacentral:lncRNA from 1 species